rfam:Nannochloropsis gaditana mitochondrion, complete genome.
GAAGAAGUGACUGAGUGGUUAAAAGUGACAGACUGUAAAUCUGUUGGUAAAUCCUACAUAGGUUCGAAUCCUAUCUUCUUCA